rnacentral:rRNA from 1 species
GAAUCCGUGCUAGNAACGAUGAUGUUGGUYCCGCVCNUGCUACUUGUGUUGCUAUAGAGCUCUGCUCGUGAACCAAAUUAGGCAGGCUGGGCAGCCCUUGCGGAAAUGCUGGGGUUGUUUGCUUGCGAAUCGAAAUCAUAAUAUGCGCGGGGGUGAAUCCUUUGCAGACGACUUGAAUGGGAACGGGGUACUGUAAGCAGUAGAGUAGCCUUGUUGCUACGAUCUGCUGAGGUUAAGCCCUUGUUCUAAAGAUUUGUUCAACUUAUAGUUGGACUCUUCUCUCUUCUCUUUCAUCUGUGGCGGCUUUAGGGCGAGCACUUUUGUGCUUGUGUGCGGUGCCAGAUGUAAGAGUAGAGUGGUAGUCAGUCAGAGUGGUGGACUGACCMUUCAAUAGAGUAGUAAAUCUGACCAAGUCAGAGUGAUCAACUGACMGUAGUAAAAAAACUCGGAUUUGAUAGAGUAGCAAAAAAAAAAAUCGGAAAUCUGACCAAGUCAGACCAAGUCAGUAGACAACCAUCCA